rnacentral:rRNA from 1 species
GUGGGGAAUAUUGGACAAUGGGCGCAAGCCUGAUCCAGCAAUGCCGCGUGGGUGAAGAAGGUCUUCGGAUCGUAAAGCCCUUUCGACAGGGACGAUGAUGACGGUACCUGUAGAAGAAGCCCCGGCUAACUUCGUGCCAGCAGCCGCGGUAAUACGAAGGGGGCUAGCGUUACUCGGAAUUACUGGGCGUAAAGGGCGCGUAGGCGGCUCUGUUAGUCAGGCGUGAAAUUCCUGGGCUUAACCUGGGGACUGCGCUUGAUACUGCAGGGCUUGAGGCCGAGAGAGGGUGGUGGAAUUCCCAGUGUAGAGGUGAAAUGCGUAGAUAUUAGGAGGAACACCAGUGGCGAAGGCGACUUUCUGGACUGUAACUGACGCUGAGGCUCGAAAGCCAGGGGAGCGAACGGGAUUAGAAACCCUGGUAGUCC